GGAGGGAGGCAGUUCCUACUGGCUUUGGUUCUGGGAGAGAUGGACCAUUAAGCGGGAGGAUCAUGGCUCACAGCACAAAGUGCUCAGGUGAAUGCGGCUCUUUCUCUUGCCUCUACUGACAUACAGUGGAUGUGAUUACCCACGCACUCACCCUGCCCAACUUUUCUAUCAGAUUGGAAAGUGGACAAAACUACUGGGCUCCAUGGGCUCCAGUAACCUUUUCUCAACCGAUAGAGUGGAUAAAUCACAGAAAUGAGGAUCGAUCUGAAAGAAAAACAAGCGACACUUGACCCCCAGAUGUUGAUUUUUAAGACGCAUUUUGGUCCUGAUAUAGUUAAAGGAAAUGCCUUACAUUAAACCCCCAUUUAAGCAAUGUUUUAGUGUGUUGCAUAAGAGGGACAUUGAUUGCAAAUGUAAAGUUAUUUUGAUAUAUGUACAGCCAUCUACCAAAUAAACAAUCAAACACA